AAGGUUUCGCUCUUGUUGCCCAGGCUGGAGUGCAAUGGCGCAAUCUCAGCUCACUGCAACCUCUGCCUCCCAGGUUCAAGCAAUUCUCCUGUCUCAGCCUCCUGAGUAGCUGGGACUGCAGGCACCAGCCACUACGCCCGGCUAAUUUUUGGUAUUUUUAGUAGAGACAGGGUUUCACCAUGUUGGCCAUGUUCAAGACAGGCUGGUCUUGAACUCCUGGCCUCAAGUGAUCCACCUGCCUCAGCCUCCCAAAGUGCCGGGAUUACAGGUGUGAGCCAUGGCGCCCGGCCUGAUCCCUGGAAUUUUUAGUUAUAUUAUGAUAGACCAAAUUCUAACGUAGCCCACAAGAUUGCCAUGUCCCCUGCCAGACACACACCUCUUCCCAGUUAGUCAGUGGGACAGUAAUCAAGGUUCUGCUGUUGUGAAGGGAUUUUGCAAAUAUAAGUGAGGUCCAAAGUCAACCAACCUUAAAAUAGAGAGAUUAUCUUGGUGAGCCUGAUCUAAUUAAGAGAACCCUAAAAGGGAUGGGGCUUUACCAGGAAUGAGAUUCAAAGUGAGAGAGGACAUGUUGAUGGAGGAGGCAAGUCAUAUGGCAAGGAACUGAAGGUGAAUGCCAGGACCUGAGAGUGGCCCCCAGCUCACAGCCAGCAAUGGAACGGGACCUUGGUCCUACGACCACAAGAAACUAAAUACAAAAAACCAUGUGAGCUUGAAAAAGGACCAUGAGCUCCAGAUAAUAAGGCAGCCCUGUUGACACCUCAAUUUCAGUCUUAUGAAACCCUGAACAGAUAAUUCAGCUAAGCCAUGCCUGGACUUCGGACCUCCAACAGAUAAUUCAACUAAGCCAUGCCUGGACUUCGCACCUCCAGAAACUGUGUCAUCUCCCCAAGUGGAAUGUGGUAACUUCCGUAAAGGUCCUUCAGGUAUUGCUGUAGCACAACAGAAAGAACAGUGGGCCAGAAGACAGGGAGGUCUGGGUCUAGAAGCCCAGAGACUCCACAUCCCGAGUUACACAUCCCCUUUCUGGUUGCCAUGAGUCAUCACGCACCUUCUGCCCAGAGGAGAGUUUUAUUCAUGCCUGCUUGAAAAGGAAUCGCCUGUGCCUGCUGGGAAACGCCGUGCAAGUUCCUCCAUCUGUUUCCAAGACUUAACAUUCCUUGGUGACAGUGCAAUGGACGAGUCCAGCCUGGUGGCAGGGCCAUGCUGGGAACUUGAUUUCUAAUGUCAAUCACUGGAAUGCCCUUCUAGUAAGGAAGAGGUGCCCAAGCUUCUGUUUGAGUUAACACAGACCUUUCCAGGUCAGGUGUAGAAUCUGGAGUGAUGAAUGGAAGGGCUGGAAAGGAAAUGAAGACCAGUGUAGAUGUCUCUUUGCAGAAGUUGAACAUUAGAGGAAAAAACAGAAUAAGAUGAAAAUGGAAUCACAAAGGGUAAAAUGACUGGUUUAAGGCUAUAUGUGCAGGAUUAGAGAAGAGAUGGGGUCAAAGGGGUAUUUUUUAAUGAAGAUAAAAUUCACAUAAAACAAAAUUCAGCAUUUUAACUGUUUUUAAAGUGUGUAAGUCAGUGGCUUUUACUCCAUCCACAUGUUGAACAACCAUCAUCACUAUCUAAUUCCAGAAGAUUGUCAUCAUCCCCCUUAUCCAUGAAACAGUCACUCCCUGUCCCCCACUCCUCUCAGCCCCUGGCAAAGACUAAUCUACUUUCUGACUCUAAGGAGUUGUCUAUUCUGGAUGUUGUGUAUAAACUGAAUCAUACAAUAUGUGGCCUUUUGUGUCUGGCUGCUUUCUCUUGGCAUAAUGUUUUCAAGGCUCAUUCAUAUUGUAACAUGUACCAGUACUUCAUUCUUGUUUUGGUUCAAUAAUACUCUAUUGUAGGCUAUACCACAUUUUGUUAUUUAUUCGUCAGUUGAUGGACAUUUGGGAUGAUUCCAUAUUUGGGCUACUAUGAAUCAUGCUGCUAUGAACAUUCAUGUACAUGUUUUUGUUUGAAUACCUGUUUGCAAAUCUCUUCAGUGUAUACCUAAGAGCAGAACUACUGAGUCAUAUGUUAAUUCUGUAUUUAGCUAUUUGAGGACUUGCCAAAUUGUUUUCUAUAGUGAUUGCACCAUACUACAUUCCCACCAGCCAGGUAGGAAGAUUACCAUUUUUUCCACAAGCUUGCCAACACUUGUUAUUUUCCUUUUUUAAAAAAAUUAUGGCCAUCAUAAUGGGUGACCAUAAUAAAGUGGUAUCUCAUUGUGGUUUUGAUUUGCAUUCCCCUAAACACUAAUGAUGUUGGACAUCUUUUCAUAAGCUUAUUGGCUAUUUAUAUAUCUUCUUUGGAGAAAUCUCUAUCCAAUGCCUUUGUCCAUCUUUAAACUGGGUUGUUAGUCUUUUUCUCUUUGAAUUGUAAGAGUUCUUUAUAUAUUCCAGAAACUAGACCCUUAUGAGAUACUGACUUGCAAAUAUUUUCUCCCAUUCUGUGGGCUGUCUUUUGACUUUCUUGACAGUGCCCUUUGGUUCACAAAGGCUUUGAUACUGAUGAAGUCCAAUGCAUCUAUUUUUUUCUUUUGUUGUUUGUGCUUUUGGUGUCACAUCUAAGAAUCUAUUGCCAAAUCCAUGGUCAUGAAGAUUUACUCCUGUUUUCAUUUAAAAGUUUUAUAGUUUCAGUUCCUACAUUUAGGGUAUUGAUCCAUUUUUAGUUCAUUUUUGUAUAUGGUGUGAGGUAAGGGUUCAACUUCUUUCUCUGGCAUGUGUCCCAGGUGACUUUUUCCAUUGUCUCAGCACCAAUUGUUGAAAAGAGGUAAGAGAGAUUUUGAGUAUGAAGUGAUUUUAGUCUUUUCUCUUGAAAAAACAAAACUUUAAAAAUAUACAUUAUUUUAAAAAUUAAUUUUCUGGCUUUUGGUUACACUAUGACUGUAUUCAGCCACUAUUUAAAUGUUUUUCCUCAUCCCACAUUUUAAAGAUGCAGCAAGUUUUCAUGAAUGAUGACCCACCAGAGCCAUGAUGCUGAGCUUUCAGGGAAGCCAACCACCUCUUGAGGUGGUGCUUUUGCAAGAACUAAUUUUCAAAAGCAACAGUAGCUUGAAAUUGCUGACUUUGGGUUGCAUUUGCCUCUGUGUUUGUGCCCCUCUAGUGAACAGCCCCUGUCUUCAGAUAUCCACAGACCUCUGUUCUCUUUCCAAGCCCGACACCCACCCAUUAAGAUUGGCUCUUUGGAGAAAACUUAAUAAACUAAUUCAUGCCAAAUCGUGUAUAACCAAGAGAAAUAAUAGACUUUUGGCAUGAUACCUAAGACUCUGUUUAUCUUAAGCAAAAAGAAUACAGUGUAGGUUGUAGAAUUCUGGCUAUCAUCAAUUCAGCCAAUGCAAGGAGUGAAGACUUUUAAAUCCCCCUAAAGCAUCAGUUCUCCAACUUGGCUACACAUUGUGACCACCCAGAGAGAUUUAGAAAGUACUAAUGUCUGGGUUCCACCCACAGAGAUCCUUACUUAACUGGUCUGGGGUAUGGCUCAGGCAAUAGAAUUUUGGAAAGCUCCCCAAGUGAUUCUACUAUGCAGCCAAGGUGGAGAGUCACUGUCCUGAAGUCAUCAGAGGUUGCCACCUACUCCUCCC
rnacentral:lncRNA from 10 species